UACGUAGGGUGCAAGCGUUAUCCGGAAUUAUUGGGCGUAAAGAGUUCGUAGGCGGUUUGUCGCGUCUGCUGUGAAAACUGGAGGCUCAACCUCCAGCCUGCAGUGGGUACGGGCAGACUAGAGUGCGGUAGGGGAGAUUGGAAUUCCUGGUGUAGCGGUGGAAUGCGCAGAUAUCAGGAGGAACACCAAUGGCGAAGGCAGAUCUCUGGGCCGUAACUGACGCUGAGGAGCGAAAGCAUGGGGAGCGAACAGG
rnacentral:rRNA from 1 species